rnacentral:rRNA from 1 species
GAUGAACGCUGACAGAAUGCUUAACACAUGCAAGUCCACUUGAACUUCGGUUUGGGUGGCGGACGGGUGAGUAACGCGUACAGAACUUGCCUCACAGCUAGGGACAACAUUUGGAAACGAAUGCUAAUACCUGAUAUUAUGAUUUUAGGGCAUCCUAGAAUUAUGAAAGCUAUAUGCGCUGUGAGAGAGCUUUGCGUCCCAUUAGCUAGUUGGAGAGGUAACGGCUCACCAAGGCGAUGAUGGGUAGCCGGCCUGAGAGGGUGAACGGCCACAAGGGGACUGAGACACGGCCCUUACUCCUACGGGAGGCAGCAGUGGGGAAUAUUGGACAAUGGACCAAGAGUCUGAUCCAGCAAUUCUGUGUGCACGAUGAAGUUUUUCGGAAUGUAAAGUGCUUUCAGUUGGGAAGAAAAAAAUGACGGUACCAACAGAAGAAGUGACGGCUAAAUACGUG